UACGGAGGGUGCAAGCGUUAUCCGGAUUCACUGGGUUUAAAGGGUGCGUAGGCGGGCAGGUAAGUCCGUGGUGAAAUCUCUGAGCUUAACUCAGAAACUGCCAUGGAUACUAUUUGUCUUGAAUAUUGUGGAGGUAAGCGGAAUAUGUCAUGUAGCGGUGAAAUGCUUAGAUAUGACAUAGAACACCAAUUGCGAAGGCAGCUCACUACUCAAUCAUUGACGCUGAGGCACGAAAGCGUGGGGAUCAAACAGG
rnacentral:rRNA from 1 species